AGUAGACGCUGCGGCGUGCCUAAUACAUGCAAGUCGAGCGAACUGAUUAGAAGCUUGCUUCUAUGACGUUAGCGGCGGACGGGUGAGUAACACGUGGGCAACCUGCCUGUAAGACUGGGAUAACUCCGGGAAACCGGAGCUAAUACCGGAUAACAUUUUCUCUUGCAUAAGAGAAAAUUGAAAGAUGGUUUCGGCUAUCACUUACAGAUGGGCCCGCGGUGCAUUAGCUAGUUGGUGAGGUAACGGCUCACCAAGGCAACGAUGCAUAGCCGACCUGAGAGGGUGAUCGGCCACACUGGGACUGAGACACGGCCCAGACUCCUACGGGAGGCAGCAGUAGGGAAUCUUCCGCAAUGGACGAAAGUCUGACGGAGCAACGCCGCGUGAGUGAUGAAGGCUUUCGGGUCGUAAAACUCUGUUGUUAGGGAAGAACAAGUACAAGAGUAACUGCUUGUACCUUGACGGUACCUAACCAGAAAGCCACGGCUAACUACGUGCCAGCAGCCGCGGUAAUAA
rnacentral:rRNA from 2 species